AUCUGAAGGAAAACGCUAUUGAUAAUGAAAUGGGGUUUAUUGAAUUAACUGUUCCAUUUAGCAGACACAUGAGCAGAACCCAGGAUGGAAGAAUGUAAUCACCAGCGUGACUCCAGUGAUGGAACUGAACUAGAUGUGGAGACUGGGGAGCAGCAGAGUCAACUCAGUUAUCAUCUCGGCGGCCGGGCUGCCGUCCAGCUCGCAGAAGCCAUCUGAUCUGGAAAAGAUUUCCAACGCCUGCUGGAGCUGUUUCCAUACAGGCAGAGGCCAGUGUCAUCUCCAGCACCUGGGAGACAUAAGAGAAAGAGCCAGUGGCCUUCCUCCGAGACAAUCUCAAAUGAAUAUGCUUGACCCAGACAAGGGAAGGAUCACACAGACUCUGUCGAGGUAUGUGGCAGUUGAUAAAUCAUUUUCAACAAGCUAUUAUUCUCUUACUUAAAGCAUUCUUGUUUCACUGUAAACAGCUGUUAUUUUCUUAGUUGGUUUCACAAAACAUCCUACUAUUCCCAUCAUUGCAAUUAGUUCUGAUACAUUUAGUGUCUUAGUCACCUUUCAACUCCAUGGACUCCGUUUCCUAAGUGCCAUGAGACGUGUUCCUGGGGAAACACUCCACCCAGGCAGUGAUUGAGAGCA
rnacentral:lncRNA from 1 species